AAUUCUCAACUACACUGAAUUUGUUUAGUGUGGCUUGGAUUUGGGUGUUUUGCGGGCUUCGUAAAUGAAGUCGGCUCUCCUGAAAUUUAUUAGCAGGGUUACCUUUGGUAGAACUGUCUACAGGUGUGAUAAUCUAUCUACGCCUUAGAUGUCUGCAUGGAUGCUGCUUCUAAUUUUAUGAUA
rnacentral:misc_RNA from 1 species